UUAUAUUACUCAUGUUCUUCUUCUAAGCAUCAUCACUUACAUUUCACAUCCACGUGACCAAAAAAACACAUGUAACAAAUAAACCAAACCAAACCAAAGUCCAAUCUUUCCUUCCCUAGUGAGUUUCUUUUUCUCUUUUUGGAUCAUUCAUUCUUCUAGAAUAAUUACCAUGAGAGCCACUGAAAUUGUGUUGGUUCUGCUUUGGUUCUUACCAACAAUGUUUUGCACCAAUGUGGAUUAUGAUCAUAGAGCAUUGGUCAUUGAUGGUAAACGUAGAGUCUUGAUUUCUGGUUCUAUUCACUACCCUCGUAGUACUCCACAGGUUUUAUUUUAUGUCUCUCUUUGAUUCUGUUUGUGUGUUGAAUUUAAACAGUGCUGAAUUUGUUGUUGUUUAUAGAUGUGGCCAGACCUUAUUCAGAAAUCUAAAGAUGGAGGACUUGAUGUUAUUGAAACCUAUGUUUUCUGGAACUUACAUGAACCUGUUAAAGGCCAGGUUCUCUUUGCUUCAUUUCUU
rnacentral:lncRNA from 1 species